GAUGAACGCUGACAGAAUGCUUAACACAUGCAAGUCUUUGGCGAAGCUGUUCUUGCACAGCCUAGCCAAGGCGGACGGGUUAGUAACGCGUUAGGAACUUGCCCUGCAGUCAGUGAUAACAUACGGAAACGACUGAUAAGACCUGGUAAAGUCAGGCUGACUCAUGUCCAGCCUGAUGAAAAGUGAUGCUGCAGGUGAGCCUUGGGUCCUAUUAGCUUGUUGGUGGGGUAACGGCCCACCAAGGAGAUGAUAGGUAGCCGGCCUGAGAGGGUGGACGGACAAAAGGGGAAUGAGAGACGGCAGUUACGAAUACGGGAGGAAGCAGUGGGGAAUAAUGGACAAAGGGGGCAAACAUGAUACAGAAAUUCUGUGUGCAAGAUGAAGGUUUUCGGAUUGAAAAGAGAUUUAAGAAGGGAAGAAAAAAAUGACGGUACCUGAAGAAGAAGCGACGGCUAAAUACGUG
rnacentral:rRNA from 1 species